rnacentral:tRNA from 2 species
UGGGGCGUCGCCAAGUGGUAAGGCACCGGGUUUUGGAUCCGGCAUUCAUAGGUUCGAAUCCUCUCGCCCCAGCCA